rnacentral:lncRNA from 1 species
CUGUCAGCGUUCCCGGCCCCCCUGGCCCCCCAGGGCCCCCAGGGCCCCCAGGGACCAUGGGCACCUCCUCAGGGGUGAGGGCCUGGGCCUCCUACGAGGCCAUGCUGGAGAAGGUGCACGAGGUGCCGGAGGGGCUGGCUCCUCUUCGUGGCCGAGGAUGAGGCGCUCUACGUCCGUGUCCGAAAUGGGGUCCGCAAGGUUCUGGGAUCAAACUUGGGACCUUGAACUUUCAAGGCAGGCAGCGGAACCACUGAGCUAAUUUGCGUGUGCUACACGCACGCCCUCACCUGGACUUGCAGGUGCCUCAGAAGGGCAGAGUGCAGAUAGAGGCCUGCACACCCCUGUCCAGGCAAGGCGAGGCCCACCCAGGAGUCUGUGAGGACAGGACUGGCUCUUGGGGCCCCAGGGUGGGGCUGGGUUUAGUUUCACAAUGGUGCAUUGUGAAUACCACCCGAGAACACCAAGGCCCCGGAAUGCCCCAGGUCCUGGGCCUGCAGGCCUGGCUCCUCUACGACCCUGAGGUUGCUCAUCCAGCCUCGGGCCUGUUCCUGCCUUCUCCAAUCCAGGGCCCCUGUCCUAAUCGGCCAGGACAGACUUCUCCUUGGUGUGGCCCACGUGAGGCAUGGGACAGCCAGCCCUGCACCUCGAACAACCCAUUUUGCCUGUGGGGCCUCUGUCCACACUGAGGGGUAGAGUUGAUUGGACUCUGCAGCGCCCUCUGGGCAGAAAGGGAGCCCGAAACUGGGCCCUGGGCCCAGGGAGGCGGCGGGCUCAGCCCUGCACCCACCAUGCACUAGUGCUGGUGUUGGUGCUGGCAUUGGGGUUGGGGUGUAGCCUGGCCCUCGUUCCAGGGCCAUGUGGGGGCCCGGCCUGUGGCUGCCCUCAGACCCACUGGAGUAACCCUGCCACUUCCUUCCAG